rnacentral:rRNA from 1 species
UACGAAGGGGGCUAGCGUUGCUCGGAAUCACUGGGCGUAAAGGGUGCGUAGGCGGGUCUUUAAGUCAGAGGUGAAAUCCUGGAGCUCAACUCCAGAACUGCCUUUGAUACUGGGAGGCUCGAGUCCGGGAGAGGUGAGUGGAACUGCGAGUGUAGAGGUGAAAUUCGUAGAUAUUCGCAAGAACACCAGUGGCGAAGGCAGCUCGCUGGGACGGUACUGACGCUGAGACGCGAAAGCGUGGGGAGCAAACAGG